UGGCUCAGGAUGAACGCUGGCGGCGUGCUUAACACAUGCAAGUCGAACGAUGAUCCGGUGCUUGCACCGGGGAUUAGUGGCGAACGGGUGAGUAACACGUGAGUAACCUGCCCUUAACUCUGGGAUAAGCCUGGGAAACUGGGUCUAAUACCGGAUAUGACUCCUCAUCGCAUGGUGGGGGGUGGAAAGCUUUUUGUGGUUUUGGAUGGACUCGCGGCCUAUCAGCUUGUUGGUGAGGUAAUGGCUUACCAAGGCGACGACGGGUAGCCGGCCUGAGAGGGUGACCGGCCACACUGGGACUGAGACACGGCCCAGACUCCUACGGGAGGCAGCAGUGGGGAAUAUUGCACAAUGGGCGCAAGCCUGAUGCAGCGACGCCGCGUGAGGGAUGACGGCCUUCGGGUUGUAAACCUCUUUCAGUAGGGAAGAAGCGAAAGUGAC
rnacentral:rRNA from 1 species